rnacentral:rRNA from 1 species
AUAGGUGGCAAGCGUUGUCCGGGAAUUAUUGGGGCGUAAAGCGCGCGCAGGCGGUCCUUUAAGUCUGAUGUGAAAGCCCACGGGCUCAACCGUGGGAGGGUCAUUGGAAACUGGGGGACUUGAGUGCAGAAGAGGAGAGUGGAAUUCCACGUGUAGCGGUGAAAUGCGUAGAGAUGUGGAGGAACACCAGUGGCGAAGGCGACUCUCUGGUCUGUAACUGACGCUGAGGCGCGAAAGCGUGGGGAGCGAACAGGAUUAGAUACCCUGGUAGUCCACGCCGUAAACGAUGAGUGCUAAGUGUUAGAGGGUUUCCGCCCUUUAGUGCUGCAGCUAACGCAUUAAGCACUCCGCCUGGGGAGUACGGUCGCAAAGACUG